GGGAAACCACCGGAAAUUCCAAGGAAUACUUGGAUUGUGAAUCCAUAGGUCCCAGGUUCGAGUCCUGGUGGGCCCACCA
rnacentral:tRNA from 1 species